rnacentral:rRNA from 1 species
UACGAGGGGGGCGAGCGUUGUUCGGAAUUAUUGGGCGUAAAGGGUGCGUAGGCGGUUUGGUAAGUCUCUUGUGAAAUCUAUGGGCUCAACUCAUAGUCUGCAAGGGAAACUGCCGGGCUUGAGUGUGGGAGAGGUGAGUGGAAUUUCCGGUGUAGCGGUGAAAUGCGUAGAUAUCGAAAGGAACACCUGUGGCGAAAGCGGCUCACUGGACCACAACUGACGCUGAUGCACGAAAGCUAGGGGAGCAAACAGG